rnacentral:lncRNA from 1 species
UAGCUUCAAGUAUAUAUCACUCCCGUGGUUUCGCAUUUUCUUAUUUUAGUAUUCUGUGGUUUAAAGUGUAUCAAAUUAAUGUUCUGUGGUUCCUUUAUAUCUUUUCGUCAGCUUUUUAGUUAAUAUUUUGUUAAAUUAUAUAAAAAAAAAAAAUUCAGAUACUCUAUCUAAGUUUAUCAAAUAUUCACUGUAGUUCUCUUUAAUUUUAACUUUGUUACUGAUUUAACGAAAAAAAUUUGUGAAAUCCAUAAUAAAGAAAUAAAAAUGAAAUCACAGGAUACUAAAUUAAUACAUUUUAAAUCAUAAAAUCCUAAAAUGAGAAAGUGUGAAACUAUAUAAAUGAUAUUAAAGUUUUCAUAAAAGAAUUACAAACCUACGUAUUACAG